rnacentral:rRNA from 1 species
GUACACGCUGUGACUAGCAUAUCAAUAAGCGGAGGAAAAGAAACUAACAAGGAUUCCCCUAGUAACGGCGAGUGAAGCGGGAAGAGCUCAAAUUUGAAAUCUUAAAGGGUUUCCCUUUACGAAUUGUAGUUUAAAGAAGUGUUUUCUGUUGAGGUUUUGGUAAAAGUUCUUUGGAAUAGGACAUCAUAGAGGGUGAGAAUCCCGUAUUUGACCUUUACUUUCAACUUUGUGAUACACUUUCAAAGAGUCGGAUUGUUUGGGAAUGCAGUCCAAAAUGGGUAGGUAAAUUUCAUCUAAAGCUAAAUAUUGGCGAGAGACCGAUAGCGAACAAGUACCGUGAGGGAAAGAUGAAAAGAACUUUGAAAGGAGAGUUAAACAGUACGUGAAAUUGUCAAAAGGGAAGCGUUUGACACCAGUGUUGUUUUUCUGAAAAUCAAUUAAAGAACUGUUUAUGCUAAGUUGUUUAGACUUUAUCAGCUAACUGUUUAGUUUUGAGCUUUUCUUUAAUGCACUUUUCAGUUAACAAGUCAACAUCAAUUUCUUUUGCUGUAAAAAAGCUUGAGGAAGGUGGCUUGAGAUUCGUCUUAAGUGUUUAUAGCCUCUUGCCUAUGCAGUCGGAGAGAUUGAGGUCUGCAGCGUAGAUCCUUCGGGGCUAAAUGCAUUUGUGCUAAGUUAUAACAUUUUAUAGACAACUUGUUGACUAUGAUUUGUCUUGUAGCUUACUCGCUUAUGUUAUUUUACCUACGCUUAGGAUGUUGACGCGCGUGUGUGCGUG